rnacentral:lncRNA from 1 species
GUAUGCAUACCCAGUUAUCAUAAACAUUACGUUAUCUUUGUCCAUUUACCAGUAAUCGUCUAUUAAGAUUUAUGCCUUAUCCAAGGGAGGUGUCAUUUUAAUUUUUCUCGACUGAGUUUCUAUCGAGAUGAAUAAAACCUGCUAAAAUCAGAUACAUCGGUUAAUCAAGACAAAAGGAACGAAAAUACUUUUGAUGAGUCAAGUAAAAAACAGAAAAUGCAGGCAGAGAAAGACCGGGAAUAUAAAAAAGAAAACAGAAUCAAGAAUUCUAGACGUCGUAGCCUUUAAAUAUCCCUGGCUCUCCAAUGAAGAAAUGUCAUUGAUGUUUAACCCC